rnacentral:tRNA from 1 species
GGUCUUAUAGCUCAGUUGGUUAGAGCACCUGACUCAUAAUCAGGUGAUUCCAGGUUCGAGUCCUGGUGGGAUCA